rnacentral:tRNA from 2 species
GGGCGUGUGGCGAAAUGGUAGACGCGCUGCGCUUAGGACGCAGUAGAGCAAUCUGUGCUGGUUCGAGUCCAGUCAUGCCCACAA